rnacentral:rRNA from 1 species
AACGAACGCUGGCGGCAUGCCUAACACAUGCAAGUCGAACGAGACCUUCGGGUCUAGUGGCGCACGGGUGCGUAACGCGUGGGAACCUGCCCUUAGGUUCGGAAUAACUCCCCGAAAGGGGUGCUAAUACCGGAUAAUGUCUUCGGACCAAAGAUUUAUCGCCUUUGGAUGGGCCCGCGUUGGAUUAGCUAGUUGGUAGGGUAAAAGCCUACCAAGGCGACGAUCCAUAGCUGGUCUGAGAGGAUGAUCAGCCACACUGGGACUGAGACACGGCCCAGGCUCCUACGGGAGGCAACAGUGGGGAAUAUUGGACAAUGGGCGAAAGCCUGAUCCAGCAAUGCCGCGUGAGUGAUGAAGGCCUUAGGGUUGUAAAGCUCUUUUACCCGGGAUGAUAAUGACAGUACCGGGAGAAUAAGCUCCGGCUAACUCCGUG